rnacentral:snRNA from 1 species
GGAGGUCAAGGUGGUCUGACUGUGACAUCUGUCACCUCGUUGACCUCCAGGGGUUGAUUAAGCUGAUCUGGCUGCCUCAGUAGAUGUCCCCAUUCUCCCUUGCUGUGUCAGGUGUGUCCUUCCUGAAACUGUGCACUCAGUCAAAGAGGAAGACCUUCCCUCAUUGACACUUAGGUCAAAAGUGAGUGAAUAUCUGCACUCCUCUGCUAGAACCUUCAAACAAGUCACCAAGAUUCACGGUGCUUUUGUAUUUCUUGCUCACUUGUGGAAGCCUCAGAAUGUCUAAAGCCAUGACUGGGAUCCUAUCUUGUGUCAUCUGAGAAAGAAUGGUAUUG